rnacentral:rRNA from 1 species
ACCCCUACGGGGCGCAGCAGUGGGGAAUAUUGGGCAAUGGGCGCAAGCCUGACCCAGCAAUGCCGCGUGAAGGAAGAAGGCUUUCGGGUUGUAAACUUCUUUGACAGGGGAAGAGCAGAAGACGGUACCCUGAAAACAAGCCACGGCUAACUACGUGCCAGCAGCCGCGGUAAUACGUAGGUGGCAAGCGUUAUCCGGAUUUACUGGGUGUAAAGGGAGCGUAGACGGCUAUGCAAGUCUGGAGUGAAAGGCGGGGGCCCAACCCCCGGACUGCUCUGGAAACUGUAGAGCUAGAGUGC